rnacentral:rRNA from 1 species
UCCACCGUAAAAUGAAGAGUGGCGAACGGGUGAGUAACACGUGGGUAACCUGCCCAUCAGAAGGGGAUAACACUUGGAAACAGGUGCUAAUACCGUAUAACAAUCGAAACCGCAUGGUUUUGAUUUGAAAGGCGCUUUCGGGUGUCGCUGAUGGAUGGACCCGCGGUGCAUUAGCUAGUUGGUGAGGUAACGGCUCACCAAGGCCACGAUGCAUAGCCGACCUGAGAGGGUGAUCGGCCACAUUGGGACUGAGACACGGCCCAAACUCCUACGGGAGGCAGCAGUAGGGAAUCUUCGGCAAUGGACGAAAGUCUGACCGAGCAACGCCGCGUGAGUGAAGAAGGUUUUCGGAUCGUAAAACUCUGUUGUUAGAGAAGAACAAGGAUGAGAGUAACUGUUCAUCCCUUGACGGUAUCUAACCAGAAAGCCACGGCUAACUACGUGCCAGCAGCCGCGGUAAUACGUAGGUGGCAAGCGUUGUCCGGAUUUAUUGGGCGUAAAGCGAGCGCAGGCGGUUUCUUAAGUCUGAUGUGAAAGCCCCCGGCUCAACCGGGGAGGGUCAUUGGAAACUGGGAGACUUGAGUGCAGAAGAGGAGAGUGGAAUUCCAUGUGUAGCGGUGAAAUGCGUAGAUAUAUGGAGGAACACCAGUGGCGAAGGCGGCUCUCUGGUCUGUAACUGACGCUGAGGCUCGAAAGCGUGGGGAGCAAACAGGAUUAGAUACCCUGGUAGUCCACGCCGUAAACGAUGAGUGCUAAGUGUUGGAGGGUUUCCGCCCUUCAGUGCUGCAGCUAACGCAUUAAGCACUCCGCCUGGGGAGUACGACCGCAAGGUUGAAACUCAAAGGAAUUGACGGGGGCCCGCACAAGCGGUGGAGCAUGUGGUUUAAUUCGAAGCAACGCGAAGAACCUUACCAGGUCUUGACAUCCUUUGACCACUCUAGAGAUAGAGCUUCCCCUUCGGGGGCAAAGUGACAGGUGGUGCAUGGUUGUCGUCAGCUCGUGUCAUGAGAUGUUGGGUUAAGUCCCGCAACGAGCGCAACCCUUAUUGUUAGUUGCCAUCAUUCAGUUGGGCACUCUACCAAGACUCCCGGUGACAAACCGGAGGAAGGUGGGGAUGACGUCAAAUCAUCAUGCCCCUUAAGACCUGGGCUACACACGUGCUACAAUGGGAAG